rnacentral:rRNA from 1 species
AGAGUUUGAUCCUGGCUCAGGAUGAACGCUGGCGGCGUGCCUAAUACAUGCAAGUCGAACGCAUAUCUUCGGAUAUGAGUGGCGAACGGGUGAGUAAUACAUAAGUAACCUGGCCUUAAGAGGGGGAUAACUAUUAGAAAUGAUAGCUAAGACCGCAUAGGUAUGAAGAUCGCAUGAUCGACAUAUUAAAUAUCCCAAGGGAUAGCUGAAGGAUGGACUUAUGGCGCAUUAGCUAGUUGGUAGGGUAACGGCCUACCAAGGCGACGAUGCGUAGCCGACCUGAGAGGGUGGACGGCCACACUGGGACUGAGACACGGCCCAGACUCCUACGGGAGGCAGCAGUAGGGAAUUUUCGGCAAUGGGGGGAACCCUGACCGAGCAACGCCGCGUGAGGGAGGAAGUAUUUCGGUAUGUAAACCUCUGUUAUAAAGGAAGAACGGUGCAUGUAGGGAAUGACAUGCAAGUGACGGUACUUUGUGAGGAAGCCACGGCUAACUACGUGCCAGCAGCCGCGGUAAUACGUAGGUGGCGAGCGUUAUCCGGAAUUAUUGGGCGUAAAGAGGGAGCAGGCGGCAGCUAAGGUCUGCGGUGAAAGCCCGAAGCUAAACUUCGGUAAGCCGUGGAAACCGAGCAGCUAGAGUGCAGUAGAGGAUCGUGGAAUUCCAUGUGUAGCGGUGAAAUGCGUAGAUAUAUGGAGGAACACCAGUGGCGAAGGCGACGAUCUGGCCUGUAACUGACGCUCAGUCCCGAAAGCGUGGGGAGCAAAUAGGAUUAGAUACCCUAGUAGUCCACGCCGUAAACGAUGAGUACUAAGUGUUGGAAGUCAAAUUUCAGUGCUGCAGUUAACGCAGUAAGUACUCCGCCUGAGUAGUACGUUCGCAAGAAUGAAACUCAAAGGAAUUGACGGGGGCCCGCACAAGCGGUGGAGCAUGUGGUUUAAUUCGAAGCAACGCGAAGAACCUUACCAGGUCUUGACAUCGAUCUAAAGGAUCCAGAGAUGGAUAGAUAGUUAUAGAGAAGACAGGUGGUGCAUGGUUGUCGUCAGCUCGUGUCGUGAGAUGUUGGGUUAAGUCCCGCAACGAGCGCAACCCUUGUCGUUAGUUACCAGCAGUAAGAUGGGGACUCUAGCGAGACUGCCUCUGCAAGGAGGAGGAAGGCGGGGAUGACGUCAAAUCAUCAUGCCCCUUAUGACCUGGGCUACACACGUGCUACAAUGGACGGAUCAAAGGGAAGCGAAGCCGCGAGGUGAAGCGAAACUCAAAAACCCGUUCUCAGUUCGGACUGCAGUCUGCAACUCGACUGCACGAAGUUGGAAUCGCUAGUAAUCGCGAAUCAGAAUGUCGCGGUGAAUACGUUCUCGGGCCUUGUACACACCGCCCGUCACACCAUGAGAGUUGAUAACACCCGAAGCCGGUGGCCUAACCGAAAGGAAGGAGCUGUCUAAGGUGGGAUUGAUGAUUGGGGUGAAGUCGUAACAAGGUAUCCCUACGGGAACGUGGGGAUG